CCCAGGGGUACUGAAGGAGCUGAACUUGAUGGAUCUUAAAGGUGUUUUCCAACCUAAAUGAUUCUGUGAUUCUAUUCUAACAGUCCUUCCUGUCUUUGUCCUCCAUGUCUUUUUUGGAGUCCCUGCUUUCUAGAAUACAGUUAUACUCUAUCCUAUAUACAUUUUCUACCAAGUCUGCAACUUAUAUUGUAAUAUAUUGAUCCAACAUGAUUUAACUUUUUUCCUGCGUUAAUAUUCAGUACCUAAUUGUACUCAGCAGACCAGCUGAGGUGAGUCACCGUGCAUUGGUGACUGCUACUACUGCACCCUCAUUGCAUCACUUUUAUGUUUUAAUUAGCAAUUUAUUUAUAUUUAGUUGUCUUACAGUAUUUACAUUGGUGUAAAUCCAUUUGUCCAUUAAAGUUUGAAUAUUGAAAGAGUAUUGUAUCUGCUAUUCAUGAACAAGUUUCCCUAGGAAGUCUGCUCUUUUUAUGCUUUUAAAUAGAAAGGAAUUAAAGCAUGGAAAGACUUCUCCACUCAUCUUUUUAGUUCCUGACCUUUUUGCCCCUUCCAAACUUCACUAUGAUAGAUUAACAGAUCCUUUCCCUUGCCUUCCCUUCACAGGUGCACAUAAAGCUUCCUUCAUAAGACCAUCCACGUUAUUUUCAGCAUCCCUGAUAGGAUCCCUGUAGGGCAACACAGAAUCUCUUUACAAUUGACCAAGCUCUCUCUGUCUCACAUUUUAUUUCUUUGCAAGUCUGAUGACACAGGUCUGAAGUUUUCUGGACAGAAGCUGUAGCUGGCCAUGAUAGUAGUUUUUUAUAGGAUGCAGAGAUGAUAACUAGCAAGGUGGGAGAGUGCAUCCUCAGUUAACUGCGCUCAGCUGCUGAGAAUUGACUCUUUAAGCUGGAAUUAAGUGUGGUUUUAGAGUUUGUUCUUACUUUUAAUCGUAUAGUUGCCAAGUUUAAAAUUACAAGUUAAUUUUUUUACUCCGGAUAAUGCAGUUAAAUGCCUGUGUUUACAUUCCUCCAAGUGGGAAGAGAAUAUAGCCGAAUAUACACUAGUUAUUUGAAUUUAAGUUAACUUGGAUGGUAAGAAUCACACUGUGAGCUUGCUUGGACCUUCUUCCUCUGUGGAAUUUUAGGUUAAUUAAUUCUUAUGAAGCCCUUGGCCUGAGAUGAUUUUGUUAGUAACAUUUUUAUUAGCAUUAUAUUACCAGUAUAAAUAUAUGAUAAAAUUAAAUGAGGUACUUCAUUCUUUCAUUUGCUUGGUCUCUAGGUGACAGGUGACAUGAUUUUAUUUUUUUUUAUAUUAGUUUUUUAUGUAGAAAGAAAAUGACAUUGUAGUCAGAUAUGCAACACUGUUUAUGUUCUUUUACUGUAAUGGAUAUUUGGACAGCAUUCUCAGUAAUCACUCUGCAUGCUUGUAAAGAUUAGUGAGUAAGACAGUUCAUGGGAAAUUUUAUGAGCUGAAGUAGAUAAGAAUUUGAGAUGUUUGUCUUCUGAAUGUCUGCUUUAACCUCUAAGUGUACAGUGUACAUCACAGCUUCAUUAUGUUUUCCCUUUUAUUCUUAUUAUACUUCUUUUUCUGGCAUAGAAAAGAACAUUUUCUUUUUCCUUGUAUUUAUCUUUUUCUCCCUGCCGUCUGCUAUCUCCAUUACAACAUUGUCCACUUGACAUUAUCCAAUGCCUUAAACUCUGGAGGCAGUAUUCUUGUUAUGUUCUUGUAUUAUUCAUGCUAUUUUUGCAGUCAGGAAUAAGUUGAAGUUAUGUUGACCAUUUUCGUUACUUAGUUAUUCAGUUGACAGAUAAAAAUACUUCUUCAGAGGCACAUAACAUUCUGUGCUCUCUUCUUGAUUUUGAUUGUUGUUUUUCAUUUGUUUUUUCUCUUAAUCUGCAGUGUAGGGUACUUUGGAAAGUUCAUCUCAUGAUCUUUUUUUUCCUAGUUUUUUUUUUUUUUCCCUUUUAUUCUUCUUAGCCUUUCCUUCUUUUCCUUGUAUUCUCUUGUACUAAUUUGUUUUUUUUUUAAAAAAAAAAAAGGUAUUUGGGCUGGUUUUGAGACCCUUCUGGCACUUUGAAAAGUGUUAACUUCUAAACUUUAAGGCUUUACACUGUGAGAGAGAGAGCAAAAAAAGUGGAAGAAGAGAUCUGAACCUGCUGUGCAUGGAAACAUCUCUCUAUAGCUAGUGCUGCAAUAUGUUUGUGGUAUUUCUUGUUAGAGUAAUCUAUGACUGUUAAAAUAUUUAACUUAAAAUGUCUGUAGUUUUCUGUUCUUUUUUUUUUCUAAUUACUUUUGAGGAGCAAGUGUUUUUACUUGUUGAUGUACAUAUUUGCUGCAAAUGGUAAACAAAGUAGUGGUACAUGUAGAGCGUAAAUAUUGAAAUACUUAUUACAGUCAAAUGUACUGAGCAACUUGGAAUUCAGAGAUAGAGUGAUGUGGCAAUGUUAUUAUCUUGUCAUCACAAAUUCUUCUGGAAAGAGUCCACAUUAGAUAAUGUUAUGUUAAACUGAAUCCCCCUCCCUUUUGUUUUUUUACUCAGGAAUGCUUCAGUAUUGUGAUCCUGAAAUCAUGAGUCAGUUUUUUUGAUUAAGAUAGUCAUACAGCUUGAAGGAACUGCAUGGUCUCUAGCCUAGGAAAAGAAGAAAAAAAAGGGAAUCAUCAUUAACUUCAUGGAAUACUCCCAACUCAGCACAAAGUUUAAAAGAAAUUAUAAAUAAAGACAUGCAAGUAAACAAGGAUAAAACUCACUACGAAGUUACUGUAUUCUAAAGGUGUUUGCACAAAAAGUAGGAAAAAGUUCAUGUGCUGUUGAAGGCUCAGUUGCUACACAGGAAGAUCAAGAUAUGCCAGGAAGAGUUGGAUGAUCAUGAGGACUGACAUUAGAAAUGGGGUGUUGUUGUGGACCUGCUGAAAGAACCAGGAGGUGGACUCUAUGAAGACAAAAGUGGCUGAACUGGAUGUUUCCUUCUUCAAAACAUAGAGCUCACAUCUGUAAGAAAUGCACGUGGCUAAUGGACUGCUCAGAAAAAUCAGACGUGGCGAGGGACCAGCUGCACUAAGCAACUUGCUCCCCUAGAGGAAUUCCAAAUGUUAUGGAGAAAAAGUUCUUCACAGCAAAUACCAUUUCAUACUCCCCUGUGCAGUCUGUGGCUCUUUAUGCCUCCACUUGUGAAGCUCACAGCAUUCUCCUGGUUAAGCAGUCUCAGCAGGGCUGCCAGCUUUAUUGAGUUGGUAUGGAAAAGGAGCCAGGGGAAAAAAGCACAGAAAAUGACCCUUUCAGCACAGAGCUGGCAUCUGAAGAAUGACUUUCCCAUUCAUGUUGUAUCUUGUGUUUCCCUCACCUUAGCCAGAAUGGUCCCUAUUCCUCUUCACUUUGCAUUAAGAAAUGGGAAUGGGGUAAUGCUUCCUAUAACACUUGUGUAGUGGGGAAGUAAUUGGGUUUAUUUGUUCUUUUUUACAUAGGUGGAGAAUACAUUGGCCGUUAGAAUUUAGACAAAGUCUCGCUGGAGUUUUUAACAGUGAAAAGGAGGCUAAAUCUAAAUAAAUCUCCUGGUUCCCAUGAGCUGCAGCUUGCAGUUGUGUUUUUUUUUUUCCCCUUCUAAGAAUAUAGUAACAAUAUUUAUCAAAAACGUUUAUGCCAUUGAGGAAUCCAGAGAAAUGCAGGAAAUGCAGUAUGAACACAUAACGUAUGUACUAAUACUUUAUUUGUCUUUGUGUGUGUGGAUUUGAUGGCCAAAAAGGAAGAGGCCCCAAGGGCUCCUUAGUAUGCAAUUAAUAUUUUGGCUAGAAAAGCAGCAGAUUGUUUCAGUAUGCUUACAUGUUAUGACAUCAUAUUCCAGUAAAAUUAUAAUGAACAGAAUUUUUGUUUGUCUCUGUGGCAAACCAAAAUGAGUUUUCUAAUUGUCAACAGAUUUUGGUGAUUUAUUUAAUUAUAGUGGCGCCCACUCACACCAACUUAGUUAAGGUCUGUCAGCAUUUCUGUUACGAACCCCUAUUUUUAGUGGUUUAUAACUAGUUGUAAAUAUUUGCUCAUUGCUGAAACUUGGAAUUCCAGGUCACAGUCAUAGAGCAAAUAUCCUUUUUCAGGUUGACUAUUCUAACGUGAUACCAACAACAUUAGCUAAAAAGUUGAUUUCUGAUGCUAAGAAACUUAGAGGGAAUGAAGAGAACCUGUUUUCCAGACCUCUUUUCUGAGGGGUCUUCUUAAGAAUCUCAAAUGUCCAGAAGAGCCAGAUAGAAAUUAUCUUGUUUUAAUAGGUUAUAUGUGACUGGUUGUUACAGUAUUAUCCUUUAUCACUUCUUUUUUUCAUUCCAAUUGAAUCUAUUGUUUCAUAUGUCCUUUCAUUGUCUUCUGGUCUUGUAGUCAGUCAUUUGGUUGUGUCUGUCCAAAGUGUCUGCCAGUAUCACCUGGGAAUACUUUUUACAUAGGAAUUUUAUACAAAGGAAAGUCUUAGCCUGUGUAGCUGCCAUGUAGAAUGCAGAGAGAUGUGUAUUCUUUAAAUGUAGGUAAUUUAAAAACUUUCAGAAACCUAAAGAGUCUGCGAAGUGUUGCUGUUGGAAAUUCUGACUGUUUCGGUUCUGUGGCUGAACAGUGUCAGAGAGGUAAAGGAGCAUAGGACUGAUGCGUAG